UACGUAGGGUGCGAGCGUUAAUCGGAAUUACUGGGCGUAAAGUGUGCGCAGGCGGCUUGGCAAGUCGAGUGUGAAAUCCCCGGGCUUAACUUGGGAAUUGCGCUCGAAACUACCUGGCUAGAGUGUGGCAGAGGAAGGUGGAAUUCCACGUGUAGCGGUGAAAUGCGUAGAGAUGUGGAGGAACACCGGUGGCGAAGGCGGCCUUCUGGACAGUGACUGACGCUGAGACGCGAAAGCGUGGGGAGCAAACAGG
rnacentral:rRNA from 1 species